UACGUAGGUGGCAAGCGUUGUCCGGAUUUAUUGGGCGUAAAGAGCGUGUAGGCGGCUGAGCAAGUCAGAUGUGAAAUCCCUGGGCUUAACCCAGGAAGUGCAUUUGAAACUGUUCAGCUUGAGUAAGGAAGAGGGAAGUGGAAUUCCUGGUGUAGAGGUGAAAUUCGUAGAUAUCAGGAGGAACACCGGUGGCGAAGGCGACUUCCUGGUCCUAUACUGACGCUGAGACGCGAAAGCAUGGGUAGCGAACAGGAUUAGAUACCCG
rnacentral:rRNA from 1 species